rnacentral:tRNA from 1 species
AAUUAGAAAGCGAAUAGUUGCGUUUAGUUUCGGCCUAAAUAUUGGUAAAGGUUACCUCUAAUUU